rnacentral:lncRNA from 1 species
UUGUAAAAUUCUUCUAUAUGAUAUUUUAGAGGGAUUGAGAAGCAUUACGAAAUUAUUACAUACAAUCAUCUCCCCUCAAAGGGAGCUUAUUGUAUGUCAUAAUUUUGAAGUGGAAUGUUUGGUGACUAGUGAGUUUUCAUGGUCUAGGGAUUCAUUCUAUCAAAAUGGAUGAACUUCCAAAAACUAAUGAUACCUUGCUAAGUUGAUUCCACUGAAUACUAGAGAGAUAUCUUAUGUAGGCCC